CAGUCGCCGCGGGAAUACAGAGGGUGCGAGCGUUAAUCGGAUUUACUGGGCGUAAAGCGUGCGUAGGCGGCUUCUUAAGUAGGAUGUGAAAUCCCUGAGCUUAACUUAGGAAUUGCAUUCGAUACUGGGAAGCUAGAGUAUGGGAGAGGAUGGUAGAAUUCCAGGUGUAGCGGUGAAAUGCGUAGAGAUCUGGAGGAAUACCGAUGGCGAAGGCAGCCAUCUGGCCUAAUACUGACGCUGAGGUACGAAAGCAUGGGGAGCAAACAGGAUUAGAUACCCCGGUAGUCCCUGUCUCUUAUAU
rnacentral:rRNA from 1 species